rnacentral:rRNA from 1 species
GUACACAAAAAUGCACAUACUGUGAGCUCGAUGAGUAGGGCGGGACACGUGGUAUCCUGUCUGAAUAUGGGGGGACCAUCCUCCAAGGCUAAAUACUCCUGACUGACCGAUAGUGAACCAGUACCGUGAGGGAAAGGCGAAAAGAACCCCGGCGAGGGGAGUGAAAAAGAACCUGAAACCGUGUACGUACAAGCAGUGGGAGCCUCUUAAUGGGGUGACUGCGUACCUUUUGUAUAAUGGGUCAGCGACUUAUAUUCUGUAGCAAGGUUAACCGAAUAGGGGAGCCGAAGGGAAACCGAGUCUUAACUGGGCGUUAAGUUGCAGGGUAUAGACCCGAAACCCGGUGAUCUAGCCAUGGGCAGGUUGAAGGUUGGGUAACACUAACUGGAGGACCGAACCGACUAAUGUUGAAAAAUUAGCGGAUGACUUGUGGCUGGGGGUGAAAGGCCAAUCAAACCGGGAGAUAGCUGGUUCUCCCCGAAAGCUAUUUAGGUAGCGCCUCGUGAAUUCAUCUCCGGGGGUAGAGCACUGUUUCGGCAAGGGGGUCAUCCCGACUUACCAACCCGAUGCAAACUGCGAAUACCGGAGAAUGUUAUCACGGGAGACACACGGCGGGUGCUAACGUCCGUCGUGAAGAGGGAAACAACCCAGACCGCCAGCUAAGGUCCCAAAGUCAUGGUUAAGUGGGAAACGAUGUGGGAAGGCCCAGACAGCCAGGAUGUUGGCUUAGAAGCAGCCAUCAUUUAAAGAAAGCGUAAUAGCUCACUGGUCGAGUCGGCCUGCGCGGAAGAUGUAACGGGGCUAAACCAUGCACCGAAGCUGCGGCAGCGACACUAUGUGUUGUUGGGUAGGGGAGCGUUCUGUAAGCCUGCGAAGGUGUACUGUGAGGUAUGCUGGAGGUAUCAGAAGUGCGAAUGCUGACAUAAGUAACGAUAAAGCGGGUGAAAAGCCCGCUCGCCGGAAGACCAAGGGUUCCUGUCCAACGUUAAUCGGGGCAGGGUGAGUCGACCCCUAAGGCGAGGCCGAAAGGCGUAGUCGAUGGGAAACAGGUUAAUAUUCCUGUACUUGGUGUUACUGCGAAGGGGGGACGGAGAAGGCUAUGUUGGCCGGGCGACGGUUGUCCCGGUUUAAGCGUGUAGGCUGGUUUUCCAGGCAAAUCCGGAAAAUCAAGGCUGAGGCGUGAUGACGAGGCACUACGGUGCUGAAGCAACAAAUGCCCUGCUUCCAGGAAAAGCCUCUAAGCAUCAGGUAACAUCAAAUCGUACCCCAAACCGACACAGGUGGUCAGGUAGAGAAUACCAAGGCGCUUGAGAGAACUCGGGUGAAGGAACUAGGCAAAAUGGUGCCGUAACUUCGGGAGAAGGCACGC